GCCGCGGUAACCCUAAUCAGGUAAGGGAAGAGACUCAGACUCUCUUGUCCGCAAGGACCUCUGGGUUCAAAUCCCAGCCCCGACGGCU
rnacentral:tRNA from 1 species